CUUAUCUUGAUUUUAAAAUUGCCAGUGAUGCAGAAUCCACCAUGAUCCUUGAAACAGUUCCAGAAACAGGCAUCCCUCUGGAUAAAGACACUGAUGGAGACAAUUCAUGUAAACUGUCAUAGAUCCUCUGACUGCAAUAGAGAAGCCGAGGAUCUGGCCCAAGGACAAAAAGGAAAGUUCACCAACUGCAGCCUGAGCGAUCUCACUGUGCCGUUUCCCCAAGCAACAUCGAGCUAGGUAGUAUGUACCAGCAUUUUAUUCUACAAGCAUCAGUUUAAGCAGCAGUAUUUCUAGGAGGACCAAGACAUUAUAUCCAUAUUUUUUUUCAUUUCA